CCUUGUCGGGUAAGUUCCGACCCGCACGAAAGGCGCAACGAUCUGGGCACUGUCUCAACGAGAGACUCGGUGAAAUUAUAGUACCUGUGAAGAUGCAGGUUACCCGCGACAGGACGGAAAGACCCCGUGGAGCUUUACUGCAACCUGAUAUGGAAUGUUUGUACCGCUUGUACAGGAUAGGUAGGAGCCGAAGAGACGUGUGCGCUAGCAUACGAGGAGGCAAUGGUGGGAUACUACCCUGGCUGUAUGACCAUUCUAACCCGCCACGCUUAGCGCGUGGGGAGACAGUGUCAGGUGGGCAGUUUGACUGGGGCGGUCGCCUCCUAAAGAGUAACGGAGGCGCCCAAAGGUUCCCUC
rnacentral:rRNA from 1 species